AUGUCGACUCCGUCGACGAUGAUCUGGCCUUUCACUGGCUCCACAAGCCUGAACAACGCCUGGAUCAAAGUUGACUUGCCACUGCCGGUCCUUCCCACAACGCCAAUCUUCUCUCCGCUGCGGAUGCUUAUCGUAAUGCCUUUCAAGAUUAGAGGUGUGUUUGGUCUAUAUCUGACCUGA
rnacentral:rRNA from 1 species